rnacentral:rRNA from 1 species
AGCUCCAAUAGCGUAUAUUAGUGUUGUUGCGGUUAAAAAGCUCGUAGUUGAAUUUCGGGAUUGGGAUACAUCGGUCGCGCCUUUAGGGGCAUGAAUCGGUGUGUGGUCAAUUCUCACCUUCUGGUGAAUCGGGAUGCUCUCGGGUGUUUCGAUGAACUAGGACCUUUACUUUGAAAAAAUUGGAGUGUUAAAGCGGGCAUUUUUGCUUGAAUACAUUAGCAUGGAAUAAUAAAAUAGGACGAUGGUUCUAUUUUGUUGGUUUUAGAACCACGUAAUGAUUAAUAGGGAUAGUUGGGGGCAUUAGUAUUCAAUUGUCAGAGGUGAAAUUCUUGGAUUAAUUGAGGACUAACUACUGCGAAAGCAUUUGCCAAGGAUGUUUUCA